UUUCAAAACAGUGUGUACAUGGAUAACAAAGUGAAGAGCCAAGGUGAAGAUGUAGAGUGAAUGGGAGAUGAGAGAAGGGUGUAUAUAGGUGCUUGGGUUUGGGUAUCAAAUCACAAGAGUUGUACUAUUUUCUCUUCUCUUUGAUUCAUAGUGGAAGUUGGACCUC